GUUGCUGUGAGGAUCAAAUGAGAUAACAUUUGAGCAGUGCUUUGUGAACCUUAAAGCUACUGUUUUGAACUCUCCUGUCUUCUGUCUUCCUCUCUCCUGCCUCUAUAUUCAUUAUGCCCAUCAUGCUGGUUAAAGCCCACCUCUUCCUGAGCUAUGCACUUUGUAAAAUUCUUCUGACAAAAUUAGUCUUCUCCUGUAGAGAAGGAAGCUUUGCAGUUUAUCCUUUUUGUGGAUUAUCUAUGGUGGUGACCCUAGAUAAUCUCCUGGGAGCUUGGCCUGUGCAAACCAAGUCAGAACCAAGGUUUCUCUUGUUUUCAUUUUUAUCGGACAAGUCAGCAAGCAUUUAUUAAGCACCUACUGUGUUCCAGAUAAGCUAUUAGGUAGUAGAGACACAAAUACAAAGAAUGCACCAAUCUCAGCUUCAGAAAAGCUUGUGUUCUAAUGAGCACUUUUAUGUUUUCAAAAGAGAGGGCAAAUAAGAAGCCAGAGGCCCAGAGGUUAAGGCCAACUCGUGCUAGCCAGGGGCUAGCCAAUUAGCAUUAGAACUGAGAUCCAUUUCAACCCUCACUCUUUGAUCCUAUGAGCAGGGACUACACUCCUGAUCUCCGGCCUCCCAAGAAUGUGAUCUUUCAAUCAUGCCACAUGGCUCCUUUCUAACAUGUGAGCGCUGAAUUUUCAGUCUGAACACAGGCUCCCAGAAAUAGAGCCAUGUACACGUCCUCCCUGAACAGCAAGCAGCACUAUGUUCUGGACGGGAGCAUCGGGACUUUGCUUUGGCAGGCAGCAGCUCCUGCUGUCAGGGUGAACGUGGGCCUGAUGCCAGGGACAAACCUUUGUCUUCUGUUAAUGAAGGCGUGGGCCUGUUAAAGCUACAUGCAGCUCGUGUGAAGAAAUGGCUUGGCUGUUCUUUGCAAGGGGAUGCGGCUUCGUGGUGCAGAUAUAUAGUUCUUUAGAAGGAAGCCAAGCGAAAGUGAUUUCUGGUUCCUGGACUGGAUAUUUUGGUAAAGGAAGAUACUGCAUAAUGAAAUUCUGGGCAAACAUAGCUGGAUGAUGAUGAGAUGGACUUCCAGAAAAGCAAUUCAAGUCCCAUGGUUUCCCUCUCCCUUGAGCUAACUCGACAGCAUGUGUCCUAGCUUUUCUUCUUUGUUCUCCAAGAAAAGAAUCCUGCUUAGGAUAAAUUUAGACUAGAAGGAAUAUCUUUCUCUUUAAAUGGAUAGAUUAAACUUUGAUCCUAGUCAAGGGAGAGUAUGGAUAUAAUGAAUUAGCUACAGAUUAAAGUGAUCAUCUCCA